rnacentral:rRNA from 1 species
AGCGAACGUUAGCGGCGGGCCUAACACAUGCAAGUCGAACGAGAAAAUCCCUUCGGGGGUGAGUACAGUGGCGCACGGGUGAGGAACGCGUAGGUAAUCCACCCUCUGGCGGGGGACAACAUUCCGAAAGGGAUGCUAAUACCGCGUAAGACCACGCUCACUACGGUGAAAGUGGUUAAAGGUGCCUCAAAGCACCACCAGAGGACGAGCCUGCGUCCCAUCAGCUUGUUGGUAAGGUAAUGGCUUACCAAGGCUAAGACGGGUAGCUGGUCUGAGAGGAUGAUCAGCCACACUGGCACUGGAACACGGGCCAGACUCCUACGGGAGGCAGCAGUGAGGAAUAUUGGGCAAUGGGCGAAAGCCUGACCCAGCCACGCCGCGUGUGUGAUGAAGGCCUUCGGGUCGUAAAGCACUGUGGGGAGAGACGA